rnacentral:rRNA from 1 species
UACGUAGGAGGCUAACGUUAUCCGGAUUCAUUGGGCGUAAAGAGGGCGCGGGCGGCGCUUCAAGUCGGGUGUGAAAUAUCCUGACUCAAUCAGGAUGGGUCAUUCGAUACUGGAGUGCUAGAGGGCAGCAGAGGGAGAUGGAAUUCCCGGUGUAGUGGUGAUAUGCGUAGAUAUCGGGAGGAACACCAGUGGCGAAAGCGGUCUCCUGGGCUGUUCCUGACGCUGAGGCCCGAAAGCGUGGGGAGCAAAC